rnacentral:rRNA from 1 species
UGUUUGAUGUUCUAACGUGGACCCGUGAUCCGGGUUGCGGACAGUGUCUGGUGGGUAGUUUGACUGGGGCGGUCUCCUCCUAAAGAGUAACGGAGGAGCACGAAGGUUGGCUAAUCCUGGUCGGACAUCAGGAGGUUAGUGCAAUGGCAUAAGCCAGCUUGACUGCGAGCGUGACGGCGCGAGCAGGUGCGAAAGCAGGUCAUAGUGAUCCGGUGGUUCUGAAUGGAAGGGCCAUCGCUCAACGGAUAAAAGGUACUCCGGGGAUAACAGGCUGAUACCGCCCAAGAGUUCAUAUCGACGGCGGUGUUUGGCACCUCGAUGUCGGCUCAUCACAUCCUGGGGCUGAAGUAGGUCCCAAGGGUAUGGCUGUUCGCCAUUUAAAGUGGUACGCGAGCUGGGUUUAGAACGUCGUGAGACAGUUCGGUCCCUAUCUGCCGUGGGCGCUGGAGAACUGAGGGGGGCUGCUCCUAGUACGAGAGGACCGGAGUGGACGCAUCACUGGUGUUCGGGUUGUCAUGCCAAUGGCACUGCCCGGUAGCUAAAUGCGGAAGAGAUAAGUGCUGAAAGCAUCUAAGCACGAAACUUGCCCCGAGAUGAGUUCUCCCUGAGACUUUAAGUCUCCUGAAGGAAC